CCGAGUGCGGGCCCUAUCCGGGUCCACCCUCCCACCCGUGUGUAUCGUACCUCGUUGCUUCGGCGGGCCCGCCGGCUAACCCCGGCCGCCGGGGGGUCCUAGUUGCCCCCGGGCCCGCUGCCCGCCGAAGACACCGUCGAACGCUUUGUCCGAAGGUUGCCGUCUGAGUUGGAUGAUCAAAAUCGUCA
rnacentral:misc_RNA from 1 species